ACUCUGCCACUAGCAGAAAUAUGCCAGAGCCGAAGAAAAAUUGUGCUCUUUAGACACCCUCCUCACUUCUUCCCAAGUACUGGGGUGUCAUGACACUGUUCAGAUCUGCCCUUCUCCUUGGAGUUGUGGCAGUAAGUCAUUUGGCUACAGGAUGACUUCUCUGGCUGUAGACCUAUCCUUCAGGAUAGGAUGCUAUUAAUCAGCCCUGUGCAUGACGUCAUCAAAGGAAUGGCUCCUGCAUAUAAGGAACAUAUUAUGGCUUUGUCAUUCUACCGAUUUAAAAUGCUUCUGUGCUUUCAUCCAUCAGAUUCUUGCAAUUCCUUUCAACAUGGAGCAUAAGAUAGCUUCUAAGAACUGCCUAGAUUUUGCUUUGUUAAGAAAUGUAUGAGCUAUUCUGAGUUUUGGACCACUACUUCAACAUCUAGCAUCAAGAAGAAUGGUUAGGAAGAGAGAGAAGACAUAUACAUUGGUUAUGUCAAGAGUUUCUUGCCCUUUUUGGAGGUUUAAGUUCUUCUGCCAGCAUUCGCAGAUGUUCUGGGUUCCCAGCACAAUGAGACUUGGGCUAAUUAACUCCUAAGCAGAAACACAGACUUACAAUGAGGUACAGAAAGAACAUCAGUUACAGAGCAACAACACUGCUGUUCAAAAACACUCGUCUCCAGCUAUUUCUUUAUACCUUCUGAUGUGGCUUCAUAUCUAAGAGGACAAAAUAGCUUCAUCUUUGUCUGAGGAAUGCCAAGGGGAUGGAAAUAUGAAAAUGCCACCAGGAGCUUUUAUUUUUACAACUAGCAAUGGUAUGAUUUUCAUUGCAUGAAUAAGUGAACUGACCUUUACAAAGUGUGGUUCUCCAGGCCAAGGUCAUGCAGAGAUGGAAAAGCAGAGUGAUGCUGCAGACCCAGAUGCUGUCCACCUGUGAGCAAACAGGGGCACAUAAGGCCAUCGGGGUCCUGGUUCCUCCCCCUCACCUUCUCAGAGAAAAAUCUCAUCAGCAGUGUUUUUCUUGAGAUUCCUAUGAUGUCAAAGACCUACCUGAAACACCUCCAGAUAGUCUCGUAUUCCAGUGCUAACUGCCGCCUGCUCUUCCUCUAGCCAUUAUAUUUUCUUUCUAAAGUUUCCAGAGGCUCCAGGGGACUCCUCAGCCUCCUAUGAAGAGAAACUCUCUCAGGUGCUUCUGGAAGACCCCACGGGGGCCUCACCUGUGAUCACAGCUCGUGAGUUGAGUCUGCCAGUUAAAAGGCCCAUGCUGUCCACCUUUCUUCUGCUACAGAUUUACCUGACGAUGUUCUCCAGCCAUGAAGCUCCAUGAGAGAAUUCCCCAUUGCCCCCACACAACCUCUUUACAGUGCAUUGUUUCCAGGCCUUCCAUAAGAGGGCAGCUUUGGAAGUGGCUGACCUGCCCUGGGUUCUAGUCAAAGUGCUCGGAUUCAAGUCUGUGCCUGCACUGCCCUCUGGCCCCAGGGGAACACUAACUCCCCCCACCUCAAAGAUUUCCUCCAGUUUUUGGCCUCACUACCUCUCCUUAGGUUGCAAAAGUAACUUAAAAAGGCCAGACAGACAGAGUUCCUGCUGUGGCUCAGUGGUAACCAACCCAACUAAUAUCUAGGAGGACACGAGUUUGAUCCUGGCCCUCCCUCAGUGGGUUAGGAUCCGGCAUUGCCAAGAGCUGUGGUAUAGGUCACAGAUAUGGCUUGGAUCUGGCAUUGCUGUGGCUGUGGUGUAGGCUAGCAGCUGCAGCUCCAAUUCAACCCCUAGCCUGGGAACUUCCAUAUGCCACAGGUGUGGCCCUAGAAGAAAAAAAUAAAAAUAAAAAGCCAGAUAGAACACAGAUUCCAAUCUUCUCCAUCUACUUACACCUUCACUUCAUGCCAUGCACCAAAAACACAUAAACAGACAAGCCCUCUUCCUCUCUAAUUCCACCACGACGGACGAUUUUAGAGCCUCAGGUUCAUCAGUUUUGCAAGACAUAGGCCUUUCCACAACCUGUUAACACUUUCAAGUGGAUUACAGCCUGUCAUUUCCCCUAGAACAUACUUGUUUCCGUUACACUACUCCUGGGUUGUGAGAGUUUCUUCUUUAUCAUGUUCUAAUUUUCUGACUGAUCUAGAAGGAACAUUCAAAUUUAAUUCUAUGUGCAACUACAGAGUCUCACACUAAGUGAAGUUAAGUCAGAAAGAGAAAGACAAAUACCACAUGAUAUCACUUACAUGUGGAAUCUAAAAUAUGGCACAAAUGAACUUUUAUUAUGAAACAGAAAGACUCAUAGACAUAGAGAACAAAACUGUGUCUGCCAAGAGGUGGAGGAGGAAGUGGGAGGGACUGGGAGUUUGGGUCAGUAGAUGCAAACUAUUACAUUUAGAAUGGAUAGGCAAUGAGGGCCUACUGUACAGCACUGGGAACUCUGUCCAAUCUCACAGAAUAGAACAUGAUGGAGGAUGAUAUGAGAAAAAGUAUAUACAUGUAUAUCUGGGUCACUCUGCUGUAUAGUGGGGAUUGGCACAAAGUUGUAAAUCAACUAUAAUAAAAAAUAAAAUAAUAAUAAAACAAAUUUAAUUCUAUGAUAACAUUCCAGGAGAAAGGGGAGUGAAUGCAGAAAAGAGAAAACUCAAGCUGAUUUAAUUUUUUACUACCACGGUUUUCUGUUUAUUGUUGGAAAGCUAUACACAUACUCAAUAUGUUUGUUUUUUUAAAAAAGAACCGAGGAUAUUUCAAGCCCUAAAAUUUGGCCAUGUAACUUAAAUACAAAUGAAGAUGCGUACCUGAAUUUCUGUUUAUACCUCUGGGACAGCUAUGUUUUGUUUUUUUUUUAAACUUUAUGAGGCAGAGUAAUUCCUCAUUCCUCAUGGUUUUGUUUCUUUUGUAAAAUGAUUCACUUGAGAAAACUCCAAUUCCACGGGAAUAUGAUCAAAAUCUUCAUUCUAGUUUAGAGAUGCUGUUCUAAAUUAAAUUUGUUCUAAAGGCCAUUUCAUUUCAAAAGUCACUAAAGAAAUAAAUUAUACAUUUCAUUUUACAAUUUUAAAUGUUGCAGUUGACUCUGAAAUACAUAUUUUCUUUUGAGACUAUAGUCUCAUAAAAAGUAGGUGUUAAAAUCCUUAGAGUUAGAAUCUAUAAUGCACUGGCUCAUACAAAGGAAGAAAUUUUAAAGACAAGACAAAAGGAAGUGAGAGCAUUUGAGGACUGGGUAGUGGAUUAAUGUUCACGGCUUGCAAAACCAGCACAAACUCUACCAUUUAGUACAUACCUACUCACCACAACACCUAUGCAUACACACACACACACACACACACACACACACACACACACUUACUUUACAUUUGCCAUCAUACACCUCUGCUCUUUACCCUAAAUAAUCUUUAGAUCCAUGCAAUGGCCCUGACUUGCCUAACAAUUAACUGGAAGAUGUGACAAAAAAGUCAGAGAGCAAGAAUAUACUGUGGCCCAAGAAACCUUCUGUGUUUAAAAGAGGCAAUAAUUUUGGAGGAUGAUUUUCCUUUCCAGAAACGCACCUCCCAUUCUCAUCUGUUCUCCUGUCUCUGUGGCCACAUUAGUGUGCCUUUAAGCCUCUGCUGAUCAAUUAUGCUCUUCAAUUUAAAAAAAAAAAAAAA
rnacentral:lncRNA from 1 species